CUAUACAAUGACUCUGCGCAUAUCAAUAAGCGGAGGAAAAGAAACUAACUAGGAUUCCCCUAGUAACGGCGAGUGAAGCGGGAAGAGCUCAAAUUUGAAAUCUUAAAGGGUUCUACCUUGACGAAUUGUAGUUUAAAGAAGUGUUUUCUGUUGGAGUUUCGGUAAAAGUUCUUUGGAAUAGGACAUCAUAGAGGGUGAGAAUCCCGUAUUUGACCAUUACUUUCCAACUGUGUGAUACACUUUCAAAGAGUCGGAUUGUUUGGGAAUGCAGUCCAAAAUGGGUGGUAAAUUUCAUCUAAAGCUAAAUACUUGGCGAGAGACCGAUAGCGAACAAGUACCGUGAGGGAAAGAUGAAAAGAACUUUGAAAAGAGAGUUAAACAGUACGUGAAAUUGUCAAAAGGGAAGCGUUUGACACCAGUGUUGUUUAGUUGAAAAUCAAUUCAAUAGUUUUUGAUUUUAAGUAGUAUUGACUUCAUCAGCUUGCUGCUUUCUUUCAGAGAUUAUUGAAUGCACUUUUCAGUUAACAAGUCAACAUCAAUUUCUUUUGUUGUAAAAGGGUAAGAGGAAGGUGGCUUACGCUUCGGCGUAAGUGUUUAUAGCCUUUUAUCUCUGCAAUCGGAGAGAUUGAGGUACUGCAGCGUAGACUCCUUCGGGGUUAGAUACACUUGGUGCUAAGCUAUAGCCUUGUAUAGACAACUUGUUGACUAUGCUCAGUCAUGUAGCUUACUCGCUUGAUGCUAUUUUACCUACGCUUAGGAUGUUGAUAGUCACAGCGUGUAC
rnacentral:rRNA from 1 species